rnacentral:rRNA from 1 species
UACGGAGGGUGCGAGCGUUGUCCGGAAUCACUGGGCGUAAAGGGUGCGCAGGCGGCCAAGUGUGUGAGGCGUGAAAGCCCGGGGCUUAACCCCGGAAUUGCACCUCAAACUACAUGGCUAGAGCAUUGGAGAGGGUAGCAGAAUUCAUGGUGUAGCAGUGAAAUGCGUAGAUAUCAUGAGGAAUACCAGAGGCGAAGGCGGCUACCUGGACAAUUGCUGACGCUCAGGCACGAAAGCGUGGGGAGCAAACAGG